UGGUAAGAGAAAGGGAUAUGGGAUUAUCCUCUGUAUGCUGUGAAUACAACUGGUUAAUAAAGAGUUUGUCUUGGACAUGGUAGAGCAGAAUAGAGAACUAUGGAUUCAAUGCCUUGUCCAAUCAGUUGUCUGGUUCUUAUCCUUUGGUCUAGAAGAACAACGUGGUCUUUAUUUAGAAAUACCAGAUUCCUCAACAUGGACCAGCUUUCAGUUAUACGUCCACGUUCUGCUUCACAGAGAAGGAAUACAAAGCUUGCCUCGGCAAGUUACACAUACUGAAGAACUUAAUUGAAUGGCAGGCACAGUGAGACCCCAGAGAGGCUUCUCCUUCAGUGGAAUGACCCUUAAUGACCUUAGCUGCCUGAGGACAGACCUGAAACAGCAUAUGAUUCUAUUUGUGACAAGCUACUGAGAGAGAAUAGCUGACUGGAAACUUCGGAUUUUAUCUAACCUGGAGAGUAAUCACCACUGUCUGUGGUGCUGCAAUGACACCAAAAGCAGGAUUUAGUUUCUCCUGCUGAGUUCAAAAUGUCUGAAAUAAAAAGGAAAUAUGUACAGAGAUACUGCAAGACAUGAAAUGGGGAAUUAUUUUUAAAUUAAUUAUCAAGGAGAAAAACUGCCAUUUCUAAAUACUCUGUGUGAGAAUAAAUUGAAAGGCAAAAUAAUGCCUACCAUAUGCAAGCAUAAAUACCUUAGAAAAAUAAAUCAUUGAAAUGAUUUGGCACACACUAGAGAAUGAGCCUACUGAGAAGGGAGCAGGGACUCAGCUGACAUUUCUAUCUAGUGUUUGAGCUUCCCUAAAUUCCCUUUUCUGUGUGUUUUCAUCAAAUACUUGCCUCAAAGGACCAAUUCUACAAAAUGCUGUAAAAACAAGAAAUGAGAAAAGAGUGAAUGACCAGAGCUAAUGAUAAUAAGUGCAUAAGCAGAGCAAACAUUUAGAAAUAGCAAAUUCUUCCAGAACAGAAGUCGUUUCUAAAGGUAUAAAUCCAUUUUCAUCAUUCUUUUGGAACAAAGAAUACAUUGAAACCUGAAUAUUGGCUAUUGAUCUUUCACCAGAAAUACUUGGUCUUUAUUUCUAAUUCCCAAAAGAAGAGGUUAAUUCCAAAUGAAACAAAAAUAGAAAUUUGCAGACAUCGGUGACAGAACCCAAAAUAUCUUAUCUGUGGUAGCUGUGAUGCAAAAUAAAUGCAAAGUCCUCCUCUAAAUUCAAUGUCAGGGUGAAGGUGUGCUGCUAGUGUUUGUGACUUCACAGUGGUCUGCAUUCAUGGUCUCUGCCUUUGUCUGAGAUCCCUUCCUCUAUCAUUAUACAUCUUCCAUAUGUGAGAACAUAGGAGUUACUAUUGAUUAAAUUCAGUACCACCAAAUUCAUAUGUUUAGGUCCUAAACCAUGUACUUAAAGUAUGACGUUAUUUGUAUAUAGAGCCUAUGUAGACAUAACUACUCAACAGGGGAUCUACUUCAGUGUUGAUGCUCAUGAAAAAAAGAAUACGGGUGAAGACUCUAAGUCUGCUGUUUCAAGUCUGGGAACCAAGAAAACAACCUGGAUCAUAUCUUUUCUUGGUUCCUUUCAGAGAACACUAUCAACCGAUAACUUUAUUGUUAGCUUACAGCUCCAGAAGUGAGUUGAUACACUUUGGUUAUUUAAAUCAAUCACUUUGCAGUAUUGGGAACUUCCAGAAUGGGAUUGUGUACACAGGAUAGAUUGGUGACUCACAGCUUUGCAUCCUUCCCUUGUCAAGUAUGUGAACCAAGUCAGUCAUCAGAGGAUGAUUAGCCUCACUUUACAACUAAACCUAUCGAUGACAACUAAACCUAUCGAUGACAAAAUGUUCAAUGGCAACACCAUUCAAGACUAUAUUGGGAUAGUAUUGAAACAGUUUUAUAAAUUUUGAAGUACUCUAAAAUCAUGCAAAAAAAUACCAAAAUAACAUUAAUAUGUAACCACUGGGUCUUACCAUUGCAGAAGAUAUAGCAUUACCACAAAUGAUAAGGACCUGGAAUACAAUGUAUUCACUUUCUUGGUUAAAUCAGAGAAUCCGGUGGAACUAUAAUUAUAAUCCUGAGAUACAGCAUAAUACAGCAAAGAACACCCACUGCUGAGACCAGAAGUCUCAACAAACAACAGCUUCACAAGCUACUAUAUUAACAGUCCCUUAAUAAAUAUUGUCUCCUAAGUAUGAAUGUUACUAGCAUUAAAAACAAGGGAAAAUUAAAUCUCAUAAACUGCA